rnacentral:rRNA from 1 species
GUGUCAGCAGCCGCGGUAAUACAGAGGGGGCAAGCGUUAUUCGGAAUUAUUGGGCGUAAAGGGCGCGUAGGCGGUGUUUUAAGUGGGAUGUGCAAUCCCCGGGCUUAACCUGGGAACUGCAUCCCAGACUGGAACGCUGGAGUACUGGAGAGGGUGGUGGAAUUCCACGUGUAGCGGUGAAAUGCGUAGAGAUGUGGAGGAACACCAGUGGCGAAGGCGGCCACCUGGACAGUAACUGACGCUGAGGCGCGAAAGUGUGGGUAGCAAACAGGAUUAGAUACCCCCGUAGUCC